UAUAAAUGAUUUAUUCAAUGUCGAUCACACAAGACCUGGUUUAAGUACGACCAGAUUUUUCCAAGCAGUUAUUGUCGAGAAUUUUUUUACCAAAUUAAUUUCGUCCGCACCCGGUUUGAUAAAAAAUUUUAGUAACAAUAUACAGCAAGAAGAGAACGCUCUACUUGGCCCGGCAGGGAUUCGAACUCACGAGGGCCUUUAGCCCGCGUGCAGAGGGCCUUCGGUUUACCAGUCCGAUGCUCUACCGACCGGAGCUACAUCAUGCAAUUCAAGUUGGGAGCUAGCUGGUCGUAGAAUGAUGGUGAUUUCAAAGGUUCGUCGAAACAAUAAUUAGUGUUAUCUGGCUUCGACAAGGCAAGCAGGUUGACUAGGUUGUAAUCUCGAAUAGUGUACCGAAAUUUUUCGAAGAAAAUCUUGUUACUACAUUUUUUCCAAAAUUGACAAAAUUUUACCAAAAGUAAAAUAUUCUACCAAUCUACCAUGACUGCGUCAUGGUUGUCCAAUAGACCUUGCCUUGCUUAUGGCGCAAUCGUUUCGUACUGCAGUCAUUUCAGUUCGCACUCAACUGCCAAGUUUCAGAGUGCCCCUAGUUUUUAAUGCUUGACACGAGAGUAUUUGUGCUUUUCAGGAAAUGUUACCGCGAUGGUGAUUGCUUUCAGAACCAACGACGAGCAACAGUCAACCGACCAGACAGCUUCAAGCAAGUGAUGGCAUAAUCUCCUCUUAUGACAAAGUUUUACCUUCUCAGCAAUGUCACAUCUUCAUUGCUUUUAUAUUUUGUAUAUAAUUUCACUAUAAACCUAACGAGUGGCCAAGUCAGAAAUGGUGACAUUUCAGAAUUUCUGCCAAUCGAUCAGAAAACCCGUCUGCUAGGAUAAUCAUAUUAUUGUCAUGCAAUAGACUCUUCCGGGAAACAAGCGAAAGGGCUUUAAAGCUUAGCCCUUGGCUAUAUAGGCCGUUUCCGUGACUGAGAUAUCGGCUUUAAAGCCCUUUGUCGGUUAGCCGAGUUUGUCGGUUAACCGAGUCAAAUCCGAGCCGGAGUCAAAUCCGAGCCGGAGUCAAAUGUCCGAGUCAUAGUUUAAUCGAUGGUCUUUGCAGUUCAAUGACUUAGUACCCUAAUCCUAACCAUAAUCCCACUCCUAACUUACCCUAACCCUAUUCAACUGUGAAUUUUAUGUAUUACCGUGGUAUUACAUACUUUACUGUGUAUUACAUACUUGAAACUUUGUUUAAGAAAUACUCUUCUCAGUUUUGCAAGGGCUAAAUCAGAAUGGCCAUUUCUGAGCUCAUAGUUAGGUUGCACAGCAUUUACCCUUAUUAUAAUGUUUCUUUUAAAGUUCGGUCCGCUGUGAUUAUUCAGGGCUUUGUACAACGAUGUUGAUUUCAGUGGUUGUACGUCGUCUUGUCACUAGAUUAUCCCAAGCAAGGGACAAGUGUCUAUAACAAGAUAAACGACUUUGAACCCAAUAUCUCAAAUCAUGAAAAAAUUGCUCUAAUUUCGUGUAUUUGAACUUGUCUGCAUCGUCUUCCGGCCUCUUUAAGACUGAUGAUUGUUGCAUUCAACAGGAAGUUUAUCAAUUUAUACAGGAAGUCAAAUCUUCAAAUAACUUUAAAUGAAUUGGUUCAUGCGAGCAAAUGAAUUGGUAGAAUAGUUUAGGAACACGAAAACAUUGCCACGACUCGGUAAUAUUUCAUAACAUAUGUAACUCGUGGAAUAUGUAAUAAAACAGCUUUAUUUUAUAUACCGUUUACAGUCAUAUUUAUUUACAAAAGAAUAAAUCAG